rnacentral:rRNA from 1 species
UGGGGAAUAUUGCACAAUGGAGGGAACUCUGAUGCAGCGACGCCGCGUGAGUGAUGAAGGAAUUCGUUUCGUAAAACUCUGUUCUAUGGGAAGAAAAGGACUGUACCAUAGGAGAAAGCCCCGGCUAACUACGUGCCAGCAGCCGCGGUAAUACGUAGGGGGCUAGCGUUGUCCGGAAUCACUGGGCGUAAAGGGUUCGCAGGCGGAAAUGCAAGUCAGGUGUAAAAGGCAGUAGCUUAACUACUGUAAGCAUUUGAAACUGCAUAUCUUGAGAAGAGUAGAGGUAAGUGGAAUUUUUAGUGUAGCGGUGAAAUGCGUAGAUAUUAAAAAGAAUACCGGUGGCGAAGGCGACUUACUGGGCUCAUUCUGACGCUGAGGAACGAAAGCGUGGGUAGCAAACAGG